rnacentral:rRNA from 1 species
CAGCCGCCGCGGUAAUACGAAGGGGGCUAGCGUUGUUCGGAUUUACUGGGCGUAAAGCGCACGUAGGCGGACUUUUAAGUCAGGGGUGAAAUCCCGGGGCUCAACCUCGGAACUGCCUUUGAUACUGGGAGUCUUGAGUUCGAGAGAGGUGAGUGGAAUUGCGAGUGUAGAGGUGAAAUUCGUAGAUAUUCGCAGGAACACCAGUGGCGAAGGCGGCUCACUGGCUCGAUACUGACGCUGAGGUGCGAAAGCGUUGGGAGCAAACAGGAUUAGAUACCCCUGUAGUCCCGUCUCUUAUACA